rnacentral:rRNA from 1 species
CAGUAGCCACGGUAAUACGGAGGGUGCAAGCGUUAAUCGGAAUUACUGGGCGUAAAGCGUGCGUAGGCGGUUCGUUAAGUCUGUUGUGAAAGCCCCGGGCUCAACCUGGGAAUGGCAAUGGAUACUGGCGAGCUAGAGUGUGUCAGAGGAUGGUGGAAUUCCCGGUGUAGCGGUGAAAUGCGUAGAGAUCGGGAGGAACAUCAGUGGCGAAGGCGGCCAUCUGGGACAACACUGACGCUGAGGCACGAAAGCGUGGGGAGCAAACAGGAUUAGAUACCCGUGUAGUCCCUGUCUCUUAUAC